GAUGAACGCUGGCGGCGUGCCUAAUACAUGCAAGUCGAGCGAACAGACGAGGAGCUUACUCCUCUGACGUUAGCGGCGGACGGGUGAGUAACACGUGGAUAACCUACCUAUAAGACUGGGAUAACUUCGGGAAACCGGAGCUAAUACCGGAUAAUAUAUUGAACCGCAUGGUUCAAUAGUGAAAGACGGUUUUGCUGUCACUUAUAGAUGGAUCCGCGCCGCAUUAGCUAGUUGGUAAGGUAACGGCUUACCAAGGCAACGAUGCGUAGCCGACCUGAGAGGGUGAUCGGCCACACUGGAACUGAGACACGGUCCAGACUCCUACGGGAGGCAGCAGUAGGGAAUCUUCCGCAAUGGGCGAAAGCUUGACGGAGCAACGCCGCGUGAGUGAUGAAGGUCUUCGGAUCGUAAAACUCUGUUAUUAGGGAAGAACAAAUGUGUAAGUAACUAUGCACGUCUUGACGGUACCUAAUCAGAAAGCCACGGCUAACUACGUG
rnacentral:rRNA from 1 species